rnacentral:lncRNA from 1 species
UGCCCGCCACUGCACUCCCACAGCCUUCUCUGCGUAGCCACCGCGGCGGUUCUUUUUUCCCUGUAAUUAACCGAAAUAUCAAGGGCAAUCCGGUCCAGAAGCACCAUCAAUCUCUCUCUCUCUCUCUCUCUCUCUCUCUCUCUCUCUCUACAUUGACACAGUCACUCUCAAACCGAAGCAAUGCGAAGUUUGUUCGGCGGAGCGACCCAAAUUCUGAGCAAAUCGUCGUCCGCUUUCUUCUUCCUCAAU